rnacentral:rRNA from 1 species
GUGGGGAAUAUUGGACAAUGGGGGGAACCCUGAUCCAGCCAUGCCGCGUGUGUGAAGAAGGCCUUUUGGUUGUAAAGCACUUUAAGCGAGGAGGAGGCUUACCUGGUUAAUACCUGGGAUAAGUGGACGUUACUCGCAGAAUAAGCACCGGCUAACUCUGUGCCAGCAGCCGCGGUAAUACAGAGGGUGCGAGCGUUAAUCGGAUUUACUGGGCGUAAAGCGCGCGUAGGUGGCCAAUUAAGUCAAAUGUGAAAUCCCCGAGCUUAACUUGGGAAUUGCAUUCGAUACUGGUUGGCUAGAGUAUGGGAGAGGAUGGUAGAAUUCCAGGUGUAGCGGUGAAAUGCGUAGAGAUCUGGAGGAAUACCGAUGGCGAAGGCAGCCAUCUGGCCUAAUACUGACACUGAGGUGCGAAAGCAUGGGGAGCAAACAGGAUUAGAAACCCGGGUAGUCC